AUUGAACGCUGGCGGCAGGCCUAACACAUGCAAGUCGAGCGGAUGAAGGGAGCUUGCUCCUGGAUUCAGCGGCGGACGGGUGAGUAAUGCCUAGGAAUCUGCCUGGUAGUGGGGGAUAACGUCCGGAAACGGGCGCUAAUACCGCACACGUCCUGAGGGAGAAAGUGGGGGAUCUUCGGACCUCACGCUAUCAGAUGAGCCUAGGUCGGAUUAGCUAGUUGGUGGGGUAAAGGCCUACCAAGGCGACGAUCCGUAACUGGUCUGAGAGGAUGAUCAGUCACACUGGAACUGAGACACGGUCCAGACUCCUAAGGGAGGCAGCAGUGGGGAAUAUUGGACAAUGGGCGAAAGCCUGAUCCAGCCAAGCCGCGUGUGUGAAGAAGGUCUUCGGAUUGUAAAGCAAUUUAAGUUGGGAGGAAGGGCAGUAAGUUAAUACCUUGCUGUUUUGACGUUACCAACAGAAUAAGCACCGGCUAACUUCGUG
rnacentral:rRNA from 1 species